rnacentral:sRNA from 10 species
AACAAGACACGGUAGUGGAUUAUCAGAACUUAUUAAUGUUAGUGUCACUGAAGUUGGUAUACAACCCCCACUGCUAAAUUUGACUGGCUUAGA